rnacentral:rRNA from 1 species
UACGGAGGGUGCAAGCGUUAAUCGGAAUUACUGGGCGUAAAGCGCACGUAGGCUGUUUUGUAAGUCAGAGGUGAAAGCCCACGGCUUAACCGUGGAAUUGCCUUUGAAACUGCGAGACUUGAAUUCGGGAGAGGAUGGCGGAAUUUCAGGUGUAGGAGUGAAAUCCGUAGAUAUCUGAAAGAACAUCAGUGGCGAAGGCGGCCAUCUGGAUCGAUAUUGACGCUGAGGUGCGAAAGCGUGGGGAGCAAAC